rnacentral:rRNA from 1 species
UACGUAGGGUGCAAGCGUUAAUCGGAAUUACUGGGCGUAAAGCGUGCGCAGGCGGUUAUGUAAGACAGUUGUGAAAUCCCCGGGCUCAACCUGGGAACUGCAUCUGUGACUGCAUCGCUGGAGUACGGUAGAGGGGGAUGGAAUUCCGCGUGUAGCAGUGAAAUGCGUAGAUAUGCGGAGGAACACCGAUGGCGAAGGCAAUCCCCUGGACCUGUACUGACGCUUAUGCACGAAAGCGUGGGGAGCAAACAGG